rnacentral:rRNA from 1 species
UACGGAGGAUGCGAGUGUUAUCCGGAUUUAUUGGGUUUAAAGGGUGCGUAGGCGGGAUGCCAAGUCAGCGGUAAAAAUGCGGUGCUCAACGCCGUCGAGCCGUUGAAACUGGCGUUCUUGAGUAGGCGAGAAGUAUGCGGAAUGCGUGGUGUAGCGGUGAAAUGCAUAGAUAUCACGCAGAACUCCGAUUGCGAAGGCAGCAUACCGGCGCCCUACUGACGCUGAGGCACGAAAGCGUGGGUAUCGAACAGG